rnacentral:tRNA from 1 species
GGGAGCGUGGCACAGCGGCUACUGCGGUCGCCUGCAGCCGUGAAGCGGAAGAAAGCGACUUUUCCUGGGUUCAAGUCCCAGCGCUCCCU